UACAGGGGGUGCAAACGUUGCUCGGAAUCAUUGGGCGUAAAGCGCACGUAGGCGGUUCGUUAUGUCGGAUGUGAAAGCCCUUGGCUUAACCGAGGAAGUGCAUCCGAAACUGGCGAGCUAGAGUACGAAAGAGGAUCGCGGAAUUCCCGGUGUAGAGGUGAAAUUCGUAGAUAUCGGGAGGAACACCGGUGGCGAAGGCGGCGAUCUGGGUCGAUACUGACGCUGAGGUGCGAAAGGCGUGGGGAG
rnacentral:rRNA from 1 species